AUAGAAAAAUUUGUUUAAUUAAAGUAUUGUUAAAAAUAUAUGAAGUAUUAUAACCCGAAGGGUAGCUUUACUAGGAAAUAAACGUAAUUAAAUUGUGUUCUUUUUGUAUAAUGAUUUAUAAAUUGUAUAUAUAAAUUUAUUUUCCUGAAAACUCUAGAGCCACUUUUAUCUUGGGCUAAUGUUUCAUAAUUAGAGAAAAGAUAAAAGUAGAGGUGAAAUGUUUUUCGAAAGGGUUGAUAGCUGGUUUAAAGAGAAAUACAUUUUCGUGUAGUUUGGUGAUAAAAUAUUUUUAAUUAUAUAAAAAUAGUGUACACUAAGUAAAGUUCUUAGGGGCUAAGCUCUAGGAAAGAAUAAGAAAAUAUAUAGUACUUGUAGAGUUAAUAUUGCUUUUCUAUAGGAAGUAUUUUUUGAAGUUAAUAAAAAUUAGGUUUAAUAUAGUAUCUUUACCAACAGUUUAAUUAUAACGAUGAGAUAAGUAUAGAAUCAGUAUUUAUUAAACUAUAUUAGACUAAAUAAUUUGUAAAUUAAAAAUGAUACACGUUUAUAAAAAUAAAUUUAGAGUUUAGUGUGGCUAACUAAUCAAUAAUAAAAAUAAAUCUAUCUUUAAAGAACUCGGCAAAUAUUCCCUUCGCCCGUUUAACAAAAACAUGGCCCUUUGAAACAUAAGAUAAAGGGUUGGGCCUGCCCUGUGACCGACGGGUUUAACGGCUGCAGUGAAUAGCUGUGCUAAGGUAGCGUAAUCAGUUGUCCUUUAAUUGGGGAAAGGAAUGAAUGGUUUGACGAAAGGGUAGCUGUUUCAGAGGUAGAUAAGGAAGUUUUCUUUCAGGUGAAAAGACCUGAGUUUUUGUAAAAGACGAGAAGACCCCGUCGAACUUAAUUAUAAUUUUAUAUUAGGUUCUAUAUUAUAAGUUGAUGUGUAAUAGACUCCUAGUAUAAAAAUUUGAAAUUUUAUUGGGGCAAUAGAAAGCAAUGAGAAUCGCUUUUUUAUAAUAUAAAGAUCCAUUAUGAUUGAAAAAAGCAAAAGUUACCGCGGGGAUAACAGCGUUAUUUUUUCUGAGAGUUCUGAUUGAGGGAAAAGUUUGCGACCUCGAUGUUGGAUUAAAAUUUCUUUAUGCUGCAGCAGGUAUAAUAGUAGGACUGUUCGUCCUUGAAAAUUUUACAUGAUCUGAGUUCAGACCGGCGUAAGCUAGGUCGGUUUCUAUCUUUAAUUUAUGGCGGCCUUGUACGAAAGGAUCCGGCGCCAAUGUUUAACUUUUUUAAAAAUAUUUUAUU
rnacentral:rRNA from 1 species